rnacentral:tRNA from 2 species
GCGGGCGUAGCUCAGUUGGUAGAGCACAACCUUGCCAAGGUUGGGGUCGCGAGUUCGAGUCUCGUCGCCCGCUCCA